rnacentral:rRNA from 1 species
GACGAACGCUGGCGGCGUGCUUAACACAUGCAAGUCGAACGGAAAGGCCCUGCUUUUGUGCGGUGCUCGAGUGGCGAUCGGGUGAGUAACACGUGAGUAACCUGCUCUUGACUUUGGGAUAACUUAAGGAAACUGGGGCUACUCUCGGAUAGGAGCUGCUGCUCCAUUGUGGGCGUUGGAACGUCUCGGCGGGUGGGGAUGGACUCGCGGCUUAUCAGCUUGCUGGUGGGGUAGUCGCUUACCAAGCGUUUGACGGGUCACCGGCCUGAGAGGGUGAACGGCCUCAAGAGGACUGAGAGACGGCGCAGACGCGUACGGGAGGCAGCAGUGGGGAAUAUUGCACAGUGGGCGGAAGCCUGAUGCAGAAGCGCCGGGUGCGUGAUGACGGUCUUCGGGUUGUAAACCGCUGUCGGCUGUGACGAAGCGUGAGUGACGGUAAUGAGUAAAGAAGCACCGGCUAACUACGUG